rnacentral:tRNA from 1 species
GGGGCUGUAGCUCAGUGGUAGAGUGCCUGCCUUGCAUGCAUGAGACACUAGGUUUAAUCCUUAGCCCCA